rnacentral:lncRNA from 1 species
UUUUUUUUUUUUUUUUUAUGUUGGGGCUGUGUGCUUUAAUAUCCCUUGUUUGGCUGGGCCCCCAUGCACACGCCACAUUAAAAGUCCCGCAUGAUUAUCAAUUUCAUUUGUUCUCUGUAAUGUACUCGUACAAUUUUUCAAGCAACAAUUGUGAAUUAGAUCUAUCCAAAAAAAAAAAAACCACUUUUGAAUUAGAAAAUAUUAGAGGCAAAAGGACUAGAGACAUUGAAGGGGUCUAAUAGUUAUUUCCUAUGGACAGGAGUAAUUGUUCAAAAUUGUAAGAGUGCCUGGAGUUAAUUCCUAUAGAUAGUAGAGUUUCCAUCCGUUUCUGUCCCACGUUUUAUUGUAUUACUAUUUUUCUUUCAUAAACAUCAUAUCUUAAUUUUUUUUAUUUCUUUAAGAUUCAAUACUAUUAAUUAAUUAAUACACAAAAUUAAACAAACUCAAAAAAUCAAAAUGCAUAAAAAAUGAGAUUUUUAAUGAAUUUUUUGCUUUAUUUUUUAUUUUUUUAUUAUAUAUUACAUUUUUUGAGAUUGUUGUAUUUAUUUUUUACUCAAUUAAUUAUUAUUAGAUUUUAAAGAAAGAAAAAAAGAAUCAAAAUAUAAUAUUUAUAAAAAAAUAAUAGUAUAAUAAAAAAUGUGACAAAGAUCGACACUUUACAAAAAAUGAGACAGAAAAUUCACUGCUUCAAAAAAAAAAAAACCUGUUGUGGUCUGUUUGGAUUGUAAGUUAUUUGGGAAUAUUUGGGAUAUUUUUAUUGUAGCACUUUUUGUGAUGUGAUGUAUGUGAGAUAAAAAGAAAUUGGGAAGAUAAAAAGAUGUAUUGGAAAUUGUAAAGAUGAUGUAAGCAAAUAAAAUUAGAGAAAUACGAAGCAAUCCAAACAAACCUACGUGGUCCAUUUUGUAGAGUUUUAUUGAUUUUGAAUACUGCAGCAGCAGUUAGUGACCUUUACUCAACUGCAUGGGGAGUUCUUUGUGUUCCAAGGCAAUAAUAUCCAAAAGACUGUUUGUAAGCCAAGGCUUAGCAUCCAGUUGGUUGUAAGCCAAGUGUUGUUCCAUUAUCUGAAACAGAGAGAUAUCUCCUGAGGAAAUACAUUUCCCAAAACAAUAAACCCUUCACAAUGGCAGAUUGCACUACUGUUUUAUUUCUUAGUAGUAUUUCUUUAUGCCAAUUCCGAAAGUCAUUUGGGUUGGAUCCCGCUUCAUCAUCAGCACUACGUACUAACAGUAGUAGUAUCUUUUUUUUCGCACUCCAAGAAUUAUUAUUUAUUAUUGGAGGAGAAGAAGCAGAUUCCAACAAUCUAGGGAUGAAAAGCCGGUUAUUAGUAAACCAAAGAUUCCAAGUGGGGUCUUCUUGGUGGUUCCGACAAAGACAUAUAUAGUACCAUCAUCCAUAAUCAGGCUGUUUAGACUAAUUCCCGGAUGGAGAUACCAUAUCCACUUUGUUUUUGCAGACCACCCGGUCCGUGCAAAUUAUAACCUUACAAGUUCCUUGCAAAUCAACCUUUUAUCUAAAAUAUCACAAGAUUCACCCAUUAUCCAAAAGAAUCAACGAUUAUACUUGAAGCUAACAAGUAGUAGUCAGUAUUUUUCAACCCCUAGUAGUGGUUCAGUCCCAUCAAGUUCUCCCGAUCCACUAGAGUAGGCUCCCCCUCUGAGUAGGAGUAGAAGUAGAUUGGAUUAGGUUAAAUGUAAGUUCCUCCGAUCUUCUAGAAUAGGCUUCCCCUCUGAGCAGGAGUAACAGUAGGUUAUGUUAAAUUAGACGUGCAGUUACGUAAAUUAAAAAAAAAAGAAAAGAAAAAAGUAGUAGUAUUUUUCCCAGAAAACUGUUCUCGACGACAAACACCAGAUGUAGCAACCGACAUCAGUCAUUCUUCGUUGACCGUCUGUUGCUUUAGUCUGUACAGAAUAAUAGUAGCACCAUCCGCAAAGAGAUACUGGUCCGAACAUUGGCUUUACAUAUAGUAGUGAUUACUGAAACCUCAGUUCAAACUGUUCAAAGUCCAAACAUCAUCCUAGUCGUUAUCUAUUCCACUUCCAUUCUCCGCAAUCAAACAAAUGCUUGGACUUGGAGGAAAUCGAAUAGUUGCCAAAGAAUAAAUGCAAAUUUACAUACAAUUAUCGGGCAGGAUCAUCGCGACAGGAACAAACAAAAGAUUCAAAAGAAAGAACCAAUCUGCAAGCCAAUUCCUUAGAUAAGAUAGGCGGCAUACGAUACGAGUACCAAAUGGCAAAUGGAUGAUUCCUAAUGGUUAGGUGAAUUGAUCCCAGUAGCAAUACCAGGUACUACUUCCCAAUUUACAUGCAUCUAAGAUUCUAAGAAUUAAACUACAAAGACGACGACAAAAGUCACCACCAAUUACAGAAACUUGAAAGCCAACCUCCCUCGGAACCAAAAGAAGGCCGCUCUCAAGUCUCAACUCAACUCCAAAUAAUAAUAAUAUUAUUGUUAAUAAUAUCAUCAGCAUCUCAUCAGAUAAACCAAAUUUCAGCUCUCCUCCGCACCACCACCUGCAGACUGAGGCUGCACCUUCCUAGGCCUACCUCUAGGCCUCCCAGUUUUCGACACAGCAGGCUGAGCGGAAGGGGCAACCGGCUUCGGCUUCUUAGGAGCAGGUUCUGCAUUGGGGUCCUUUUUUGGGCGGCCACGAGACUUUGGCUCAGAAGGCACCACUGCCCCUGGAGCCAGAGGAUCCUUAGGCUUUGGGGGCCGGCCACGGCCCCGCCUCGGACGGGCAGUGGGAUCAGGAAUCAGGUAAUUGUUCUUGAAGAAAACAAGUUCACCAGUAUCUUUCAUUCUGGUUAAAUGGGCUGAAAGCAAGUUCGAAUGUCCAGCUGGCAAGUCUCCAUAUCUUGAUUCUAUGUAUUUGGAAAUUGCUGUCUUGUUCGCACCAUCUUUUUGCUGCAAUGCACUCAUGGCUUCAAAAAUCAUCUGCGACAGAAAUUCCGCUCUUUUAAUCGAACUUGGGAAAAGGAAAAAGGGAAAAAUGCAGUAAAUUUGAAAUAUUGGGGAGUGGUCCAAACUGACGGUAUACCAGCAACUUUAGAGUUGGACAUCACACAUUUUUAGCUGCAAAUGCAACAGGGUCACAUAAAAAUCGUUUCUUUAGUUCCCCUUUAAAAAAAAAAAAAAAAAAGGGGAAUUUCUUUUCUUUUUCUCUCCCCCACUUUCAGAAAAUUUCAUAAAAUAUCCAUUUUCAAUUUUUGGAUGAAGAACAGUAAUUCAGUAGAAAAAGCAAAAUUCAGGUAAAAAAUUAAAAAUCCAAGCACGAAAGAUAAAACAGCAAUCUUUUUUUUUUUUUUUUUUUUUUGCUUUUUCUCCCUAAAUAUGGAAAGAAGAUCAGACAGAAAAAAGGGAUCAUCCUUAAAUCUGAAAAACCUACACGAAUUUCAUCUGGAAAUCAGAAGAAGAAACCUAAAACUUACGAAAUUUUAGCAGAUUUGUGAAAUUAAAAACACACUAAAGGGGUCAGCUCAAUUUCUUAGCAGUACAUGCACAAGAAUAAGGGGCAAAAAAUUUUGAAAUUUGAUGGGGAAUUUUCUGGAUUUGGGUUGUGGCUUUCUUUUACCUGUGGGUAUGAAGGGAGCGAGGGAGGUUUACCAACUUCAGUCGCCAUUGAAACAGCUUCUUCGCCGACUGAGAGUGUGUGUGUGUGUGUGUGUGUGGAGUGUGUAAAUUUUGUCAAGAGUCCAAAACGAGAAGACAGUGGAAUAGGUAUUUCUUUUAGCUGGGGGUUUUCUAGUUUAUGUUAUGCCCGGACAAAACGGGCUAAGCCCACUAAAAUAGACAUUAAAAUUUCCACCUAAUUCCUUUCAGAAAAAACUUAUCACCUAAUUAUCACCUAUAUACUUUCUCCAAACAAUUUUGCCAAAAUCAUUAAUGUGACAUAGAAAUAUGAUAGAACCCACUGUUUAGAUUUUUCAACUUUUUUAUUCAAAUUUAAUGUCCCAAUAAUUCUUUUAAUUUAUAAAAGAUAUACUUUUAUUCCAUGAACUCUAUUCUGUACUAAUGACACAAUAAUUUUUUUUAAUUAAAGUACAAAAAUUAACAUUUCGAGAUCAAAAUAUAGUACAAAAGGACCUUGCUUACGUAUACUCGUAUUUGCAAAAUCAAAGAAAAAAUAAGGAGUCUAUUUGGUUAUUAUAAUUUGCAUAAAAAAAUACUAUUCACUUUGUAUUAUCUUUUUAUUUCAUAUACAUUAUAAUAUAUAAAAAAAAGUGCUACACCGUUCUUUCAAACAAUUUUUUCCAAAUAAUGUCAUAUCCAUUGGGAGAAUGUGGAUGGUUGAGAUUGGAGGAAAGGAAAAGCAUUGGAGGGUGAGAAUCAUUUGAUGGAGGAUUCAGAUGGAUUGGAUUGGUGACGUGCAUAAGGAAGCAAUUUUGGAUGAAUUGCAUUGCAUGAAGGGGUUUGGUUUGUCCUGAGUGUGACUAAUUAGUUCUAAAUUUUAAUUCCUUUGGUACAAUUCUUUACCCUAAACAACGCUUUAAGUUGAGGCUAUUAUUUGUCGUAGAAGAGAAGUAUAAAGGGAAAUGAAGGUAGCAUAAUACACUGGGGGGCAAGAUACAUUCAUUCGAGGAUGGAAAUUUGGCUAAAAUCAGAUAAACAAGUUAAAAGAAACUGAUUGAAAGUUUGGGUUUUUGGAAAUAAAAUAUAAACAGAACCAAGAAUGUUUAUCGCUUAAGUAGCAUGUAUACAUGGAGCCAAUGCAAAAACAAUUUCAGAUUGAUCUGUAAAAGUUUUUCGUGUGAAAUAAGUUGUUCACCUUCUUUUCUUUUCUUUUCUUUUUUUUUUUUUUUUUUUGGGUUUGGGUUUGGGCGAGUAAGGAUUUAUCAGUGCCUGAUGAGAUGCAAAUACAGAAUACAAAAGGCGUGCCCGAGGCACAAAACCAGAAACUCACAAAACGCAUAUUUUAUCAUUGCACAAGUCUCUCACAAACUAAUUAUCAAAACCUCCCAACUUGAAGCAUUUAAUAGGUAAAAAUCUGAUGAGGUGAUAACCAAACCCCUUGGAGCCAUUAGUUUGCGUUGUUCUUCUUAAAUUUAUAGGGAGAACAACUUAAUAAUAUCUUACUCACUCAAAAUUCUGCUUUUUAAUUGGUCUAUUAUAGAGGUGGGCAAAAUUACAUGUGGAUCCAAAAACUCGUUAUACCCAAUCCGAUUUGAUCCAAGAAAUGGAGUACCUGAUCCGUAUUAUUUGACCUGGUCAAAAGAGAGACUGAUACAUGCUUAUAUGCGGGUAGAAUUGUGUCACAGGAUUAAGGACCUGUGAGUACUCGACCCUCCUGUGUGUAUAUAUAUAUAUAUUUUUAUUUUUAUUUUUAUAAUAUACUAUAAAAUAAUAUUUUUUUGAUCUAAUUAAGUAAUUUCAUUGAAUAAAUCACACUACAAAUAUGAGAGAUUAUAGUUUGUUUACAAGAUUUAUUUAUAGAGAUCAUGAUCUUAUGUGUUUUAGAAAAGAGUUUAAUUGAUGUAAUAUAUAUAUAUAUAUAUAUAUAUAUAUCUUUAAAAAGGUACUACUUAUUUUAGAUUUUCAUUUAUUUUGAAUCCUUUUAAUUCUUUUCCUUUUUCUUAUAUUCUCUUUGCACGUUUGUUCUUGGCAAGAGACUUUUUCUGAAAAAACUUUGCUAAAUUUUAGAUGAAUAUGUAAAAUAUAAAAUUAAAUUAAUAUAAAUUAUUUUUUAAAAAAAUAACCAGCAGGACGAGAAGGAUACCGUUAACCUAACCAUAUCUCAACAACAGGUAUCCGAUAAUCAGAUACCAACUAAUAUGCGAAAUAGCUAAGGAUCAAAAAAUAACUUAAUCGGAAGAUACGAGUCAAAUCAGCCAAAUGGUACCCGACCCAUGCCAUGUGUUCUUUCCAAAUGCAAUAUACAGUAACUGCCAAAAGAACUCUACCAUGGUUGUUCACCUUCUUGCUGCUAAUAGCUUUGUAUCGUGAUCUAAUUUUUACUUCUAAAGAUUAAAUCAUGUCACUUCAAUGAUAUUAUGAAAAGUUGAAACCAACACACGGUUCGCAUUCUUUACAAAUUGGCUGAGUUUUUUAAAGAUAAUUUUGGGUUAGUUAUUUUGCUUUACAUGAUGAAAUGCACGUUUGUGUGACUUAAUACGGCUUUUUGAUAUACAAGGUAGUUAAGUUUUGUUCUCAUAAUGGGUGUUUGAACUAAAACAUUCCUAAUCUUCUAGCUGUCCAUGUACUCGAGAGCAAUAUUCAACAUAUAGAAGAUAGUUUUGCCACCCCUCACCCUCCUCCCUCUUUAAUUUUUUUCUUUCCUUCCCUUUUUUUUUUUUUGGUUGGGAGAAAACCUUUCUUUCUAUUUCUUUUAAUCUCAGUAUAUUAGUUCCAAAGUCACAGGUAACAGGUCACUCCUUACACCACUAGACUUGAUUGGGGAAAUUUAUGAAUUAUGAUCAACCAACGAUGCAGCAGCUCCUUUACUAUCUAGAGUAAGAAUUUAGAAUCCCCCCUAAUCUGUAUUAUCUUCAUUCCUCUCCGGCUCCUCUCCUGGUGUUUGGUUCACCAUGAACCUCCAGUUGUCUCCCUCCUCUAUUUCCCACUGCCUUUUCAAUUCAUUGAUGGUUCUAGAUGCUGCAGCAGCAAUUGCAGGAUUGCUAUCUUCAGCCAGUCUCUGUAGGCGGGAGAAUAAAAGGACCCUUAAUAGGAUGUGGACGUAUGAGAUGGCUAAAAGAAUGAAAAGGAAAAGAAGGGGAAGGAAGCAGCCAGAAGAAAGCUAAAAAUACCUGCAAGGCUCCCAUCCCUGCAUUUCCAAGAGUCCACAUUGAUGGAGCAGCUGAUAAUGCAUUUGCUAAUGCUUUCCUGUACGUCAGAAUUUUCAGAAGAAUAAAGAAAUGUACUAUCAUCACAGCUAAAUAAACCAAAUUCUGUAACGAGAAUACAAACAAAAGAUUAGGAAUCAAUAUAAGCAGGAACAAAUUGUAAGCUUGAAAUUAGUUCCUACUCCCCACUGAGGCUUACUGUCAGAGUUGCUCAACUACCAGUCAAUUCCCUCAGAAUAUUAUUUGCUGGAGCAAAUUAACCAGGUACCCAGUGAACUUUUUGAAUAGUUAAGAUUUGGCUAUUCAACUAUUAAUAAUAAUAUGCUUUUAUCCACUGAACUAUCAAACGUACAAAUUUUGGUUCAUUCCGUCUGAUUCCACCAUUAACUUUGCCAGAUUUAAUGGUCUGCACAAUUCACGAGACAUACUUUGAAUAGUUAGGUAUGAUAGAACUAAUGGUGAAAUUAGAUGGAAUGGCCCAAAAUUUACUUACACUUUUGAUAGUUUAGUGAGUACUAACAUACUAUUAAUAGUUGAGUUGGCUAUUCGAAAAGUUUAGUGGCUACUCGGGCAAUUUGCUCUUAUUUGCUGUAAUGUAUGGUAUAUUAGAUGCAUUUCAGUUAUCAAUUUAUGGUGAUGGCAGACUUGGAUCCUAGCAGUAGACAUAUUUCUUACGGGCUAAGAGACUUCGAUUUGAUUAUAGAAAUUGGAGAGUAUAAACCAACAAUUAAGCUGACUAGCAACUGAAACUCUUGUCCAAUAAAGAAUAGAAAAACAAUGAAUUUAAGGAAUGGUUCAAAGUCAUGGUAGAGAGGUCAGGGGAAGUGACUCUGAGUUACAUGAUUAGCCAAAAAAGAGGUGAAACGUUCUAGACUGCAUAAGCUGUUUGGAUCAAACCAUCACAAGGGCCAAGGACUAAACCAAACUUACCCAAAAUGAAGCUACAUUAGUGCAAGAUCCUGUAUAUCAAGCUAAAGAAUUGUCUAACAGCAUAGAUGAACUGACCUGUUAUUCUAAUAAUAUGCACGAUAUUAAGAUUUCAACCACCACCUUGCUUAGACUGCUCUAGAAAUGCCGAAAACUAAGCGUCCUAAUUGAUUGUCUACACAUAUACUUGUACAAAUAUAAAUACAGGACUAUUUUCAAAUUUUUUCUAGAAGAUGGGGAAUAUGCAGCUGAAUGCAUUAUGAAACUGUUUUAAAACAUUUUAAUAUGGCAGUAUAUUCCCUCUCCAUGCUAGAACCUAGUAGAAUUUUUAAUCUCCUAGUGGUACUGCAUAGCAAAAGUAGAAUUUUCACCACAAAAAUGAAAUGAUGGACUGUAAUUCAAUUGAUCCUAUGCUAUCAUUACCUGGUUUGGACAUUAGGGGAGCUUGAACACUCUGCCAACAGCGAGACACUGCUUUUGCCAUCCAUUGCGUCCAGAUCUAUCAGAGUGGCAACCAAGAACUCUAGCUGUUCCAAACAGAAAAUAGGACGUACAUGGCUAAGAAAUUUGUCUGAACUCCAUCAAGCACAUUAACAACUUUAAAGCAAGCAAUCCCGUACAUCAUACCUCCUCAGGAUCAGUAUAGUCAAUUCCAUCACCUUCUGACAGUGCAGAUGCUAUGCUCAAAUAAGCAUCCUGUACAUCCAUCAUGAAGAUCUCAAGUGAUACAUGUUAUAACCUUCUCCUCACAUCAACGAGUGACAUGCAUAAAGAGGGUUCUCUAAAAUGAUAGUCAAAACUCAGAAGUUUCAGAAAUAACCUGAAUAGCAGUAAUACGAUCUGCAGAUAUUUCACCAGGGAGGAAGUCAAGGGUUUUUCCAUUCUUUUCAAGAGUUAUCUGCUCUGCCUUCUUGUUUAGAGAAUCUCUUUUGCUGUUUGAAGGACUGCCUUCCACAGAGUGAACAUGUGCGGGGAUUCAAGGUAUGAUUAACUUCUGAUAGUUAUUUUAUGACAAUAACUUACUGCAAGGCUGAGAUACAAACAAGGGAACUUACAACUUGUACAUCUUGCUCACCAUCAUGUCGUGAAUAUUCAUGACCAACUGCAAAAUUAUCAAAAAAAAAAAAAAAAACUAUUAAAAGGGGAAAAGUGCAAUCUUAAUUUAGAGGAAAAUUUUGGUAUACCAGUCACUUUAUCUGAAAAUAUAUGGUGAUUGGAAUGAAUACCUCCAGAGCCAUAAGUGCAUCUUCCAUAGCUCGCUGCUUGGCAGCAAAGUCAGCACGCCUUAAAUCAGCCUGAGUAUGAAAAAUAGUAACUAUAUGUGCUUAUAACAAUGCUAACCAUAUAAUAAAUAAAACAUCACAGGAAUUUGUGAGAUGAAUAAGUUCACCUAACAACAUUUGGCGAAGCGACAUCAAAGAGGAAAGACAAAAACUGACUUUAGAUCAAGGACACAGUCAGAAAAAGAUAGGCAUUCGGUUGAUGUAGUGCAGCUAAUGUGGCCGCAAUAUUGCAUCCCAUUAACUAAAUAUGCCUCCUUUGCAAGGAGGAUACCAUUUGGGACAAUAAAGAGGCCCUUCUAAUUAUACCAUCCAUUCCAAUAUGAAUAAACAAUCACAAUAUGCUACCCCCCAAACAUUGACACCGUAAAUCAAGAUUGCAGCAAGUGACAAUAGGCAAACCUCUAGAGCACCAUCACUCCAAUGUUUAUCGGCAGCACUUUUUAGCUUUGAUUGAGCUUUGUUUUUCAGAAUCUGGCGAGGAAAACAUAAACAACUCAGAAAUCUACCCAGGAAAAGAUAGUUCCAGUAAUAAAAAAAAUCCUAAUUUCAGUGACAAUUUGACGGAUCAUAAUCCCUUACCAUGGCAACGUGAUGAAGCCUUUCAGCUUUACGUUUUACGUCAUGGUCAAUUUUCUCAGUACCUUCCCUGGCCCGAGCUAUCAAAGAAAUGAAGUCAACUCUCUAAAUACACUGAUGAUUACUUAAUUAAUGACAAAUCUGACAUGGACCAUGAAUUUCGUUUGAGCAAUCCUGCAUACGAAACUUCACAGUGACCUUUUCUUCUUGACAUAUUUCUUUCAUUUUAGUUUUUGGUCAGGAAGAAAGUUCAAUAUGUUGGAAUUCGGUCCUUGCAUUUGUAAUAAGGAAAUUUCCUAAAUGCAACCAAAUUGUACAAGUAAAGAAACCAAAAAUAGAAGAGUAAGUACAACAAAGGGAGAAAGGCAACAUUUCAGAUGGUCAACACACAAAGAUCAAUUCAAACAGUCUUUUAAGCCUCUUUUUCCUACAUAAACUAGUAGAUAUCAACACGGGAAGAUAGUGAUGUGAAGAACUCGCUGUGUUUGUUCUUCUUCAUCAUACUUAGAGCUAAAGGGACAGCUGAGGAACUUUUACCAUCGAGCUUGAGGAACUCUGUCCCAAGAAAAGCAAUGUCUUGGCGUGCACGGGCAUCCAAUCUCAUUAUGCCUCUAACAGAAAGAAAAUCCUGUCAGCAGGCGCUUCACUUGAAUGCUAGGUAUUGUUAAUAGCUUGUGAACAGAAAUGUAUUACAUAUUUCAUGCAAGAAUAUGGUCAAAAAGUUGGAGAAAAUCUACCAAAAAGUUACUGUUUGAUACGUUUCAAAUAAUUCAAUCUACCCUUCAAUAUUGAGAAAUGAAGAAUAAGGACUUAUUUGCUGGUCCGAUUUCCAUAAAAAAUAUUGAUCAAAUAUUAGUCAUCUCUUUAUCUUUUAUAGAUAGCUCAGGAAUUGUUUCAAGAUUCUAAGUUAACCAUGACUAUGCCAAUGCAAUCUCUGAAAACUGAAUUUUAUGUAUCUCUGAAAUGCGAAUCUCAGAGCCUUGAACUAGUAAUAGUGUAAAGUUUUAGGCAUAAGGAAGAAAACAACAGGACUCCCCAUAGAAUAAAAGAAAUAUCCUGAAAACAACACUUCUACAUAAAGAAGAGUUAAAAUUAUGUGAUCAUUGAACCCACAAUUGUUGUGCAAAAGCUUAUCCAAGAACAGUUGGGGAUUAAAUUUACCGAGAAAGCAAUACAAUGUCAUUUCUAGCCCUCUCAUUCACAAACUUUGCAUCAUUACAAACAUAUUUGCAGGCUUCAGCUAAUCCCUGACUUGAAGAAACAGUUCUUCGAAGCCCAACAGGAUGGUCAUCUUCAACUCGUUCUCUGAUACAUAAGAAUUAAAGUAAUUUACAAUUGAUUCUACACUGAACAUGGUAAAAAUCGAAAAUGUGGAAAGAAUAAAACCGUGACAUUGGAUAGGGGUGAAGAAAGAGAAACAGUACAAGUACUACAUACAUUUUGAGAUUCUGUUCCUACAUAAUUUCAUUGACAACAUGAAAGGUGAAUUAUCUCAUUGAGUAUCUAAACACUGUGAAUUUAGAAAAGCAGAAUGGAAUGUCAAUGCAACCAAAAUCUGACAAGUAAUUUGUAGAUGUUUUUUUUAGACGAUCCAAGCACGACAAUCUCAUGAUUAAAUUGGCCUAAUGGUGACUACUGACUUCACAUCUGGGACAAUUGAUAGUCUGGUGGAAAGCCUCCCAAAGUUCUGAAAUCUGAUAGAUUAUAUACUGGGUCACGUGUGCUAAAAGAGACCGUAUUUAUUUUGUUCAUGUAUCAAAAGUUGCAAUUAUGUAGGAAAGUCACAUGAAUUCCCAAAUUGUGAGUGCAAUAUCAAGAAGCAGAACUGCAAUAUAGAUGACUGCUAAAUAGGAUAUCUGAAUGGAAAUAAACCACUCAUACCUACAUACAUCGGGACAAUCAUCUAAGUGUCUGACACGCUCUCUUGUUUCAGAAUUGCAAGUUUUUGUUGAAUGGCAUGAUAUAGGAUGUCCACGGGAGAAGGCAACAAAAUUAUUUAGCUUUCCCCGUAAAUGCCAGAAGCCCUUGCUAGAGAACGUCAUUUUAAAAAGAGAGAGGUGUCCAUUGCUUCGUCUGCUGGGAUCAAUUUCUUGAUUAAUGGCGGAUAAUUUACUAUGCUGUGGUGAUUGUACAGAUGAAUAAGCAAUGCCGUUGUAAGCCAUAGUUCUAUUAGGUAAUGAAAACCCUGUUGAGACCUAUGUCACCACAGUAGUCAAGAGAUGACGAGAUUGCAAGCAGAAUAUUCAAGAUAGCCUUUUCCCCAGCAAAACCUAAAAGCAGAAACAAAUGAAAAAAAAAUUGAAUUACAGUUCACCUCCAAGGAAAAAUGCAGAAAUUUUAAUUUAGAGAAGUUGACACUAAUCUUCACAAGCAUUAUUUGUUUUACAAGCUCAUUAGUAGAAUUUGCAGCAUUUCACAAGCAUCUUAACGGCAUUUGAAAUCAACUGCAAAACAACUUGACGCUAUAGUUCAGGCAUUGACUAUUUGAUAUGGUGAAAACUCUUUGUAGUCUCCUGAUAUCUUUCUAAGGAUUAGGCUUUAUCAAAGCUAGCUGAAGUCAUUUCCAAAUCCCUAUUUUCUGGAAGUAUUUCUCGAUUUGAACAAUUUGGCAAAGUUUGACACAUUAAGUAGAAAUCUCAAUUUAUCUGAUGAAAUAUGCCACAAUUCCGAGCAGACAUUCGAGAAAUUGAACUGAAAAGACGUUGAAUACUCAAAACAAAGGUAGGUUAACUAGAAUCCAACAUGAGAUGUGGUAAUACGCUAGUAAUAUUACCAUAACUGCAACCAAAUCUUCUUUUCAUCGUCUUCUUUCAAUCAACUAAGAUAUCUUCUUUACUGAGUAGAUAUCCUUAGUCUUAUUACAAGACAGAAUUUUCACAUCUCUUGGUAACCAAGAUAGUCAAAUCCACUACAAAAAAGAUUUCCCAGGAAUUAAAGAUAUUAGCCUAAUCAAAUAUUAUACUAGUCUAAAUACAAUUAAGCUUCACAUAAAAACAGGUGCCAGACAGACAAACAGGGUUGCAAGAAUCCAAACAGAAAGCUAAAUUGCCACGAUCAAUUCUUAAAUGCAUUAUUCGACUUUUAAUCUUCAAGAACUAGUUGAGAAGAAUAAACAAAACCCACAAAGAAGAGAUUAAGCAGGUUCAACUAAAACGUCUGGAAUGUCAACAGUUAAUAAAUAGUGGAAGAAAGUGCAGAAAAGCAGCAGUUUAGGUGGCACUCACCCUUUGGUCAAAAAGGAGAUUACAAUCAAGAGAGGAGGUAGGACUCAGGAGUGUGAGAAUACAGCGGAAUUAUAUAUUUGUCAGAGUUAAGUUACAGCAUUCCAGUUGUAAUAGGUAGGGGUUGAAGGCUGAAGGACUGUGGAGGACCAAGAAAUUGCAAAGAUCGCAAGAAAUUCCAACCACAAACUAAGUUCGUGGCGCGUCAAUUGCCAACGCUAGACUCCAAAACUAGGAUGGGAACAAAUACUCUGUCACUUUCUGCAGUUAAUACGGUAAGACGGAAAAACUUUCCGUUUAAUUAGCACCUCAUUCAUGAUUCAUGACUCCUUGGAUACAACAAAAUUAAUUCCAAAGAAAAUUCUGCAAAAAAAAAGAACGAGCUGGGACCUGUAAGUGUCGGCUUCUGAAGGAAUGGAUAAGCCAGUGCAUGUAAUCAGAUAAAAUAUCAAUUGUCCAAGGAAUAAAAAAAAUUGAAGCGCCAGCGUACACAAAAUUCCAGGUUUGAACCAUGCUAUCACCUUACUAAAAUUGUAAUUGACGGAAUACAAAUUCAAAUCAUAAGGAACUAAGUGAAGAUUCAUUAAUGAUCUUUUUAUGAGUAAUGGAAAAAAAAAAUACAAUUUCCAAAACUCAAGUAAGCAAAGUAGAUUAACAUAACAAUAUAUUGGGUUAGUUUAGCAGUUAGCCUAUAUAUAAUUAAUGUGAUAUGCAGAAUUGAAUAACUUCAGUGUCUGGUGUUACUCGUUCUAAAAAUUACCCAACCAUAGAGUCUGGACAUUGGAGAGGUCUAAAAAUUGCCCAAUUGCACGAUACGUUUCCACCCACCCGCGUAAGGACUGUACACUGUAAUUGUACGUUUAAAAUGUUCAAGUCGAAAUUAUUAAUAAUUGUUAGUUGACAAGCCUCAAAUUUAUAAAAGGAAAAAUCAUUCCUUUUCAUUUUUCCUGAUGUAAGAGGGAACACUCAAAGUAUCACAUAAAAUUAUUGUACAACUUGUGACAAAAAUAUUUCACAAGGUUACAUCGGAGAUCUAGUUGGGAUGGUUGGUUCAGGACUUGAUGUCUCGCAUGACAAAUCAGGAUUCGAAUUUGGCAAAGUUCAAUAAGACAUUGGAGAAGUUAAGCGACAGUCAUGGGGCUUUUGGUUCAGGACCUAAUGUCUCGCCUAACAGAUCAGGAUUCGAAUUUGGCAGCCAAAUUUGAGAUAAGGAGGAAUUAGGGACAGGGAAGAGAGGGAGUUUAAAAAAAAAAAAAAAGACACCAGAAGUUUAUUCUAGCUGUCCUCGUCAGACUUGCACCUUUUGCUACUGCCACAUUAUUACUAUAUGCAGAUUUGCUAUGUGAUGUAACGAGCAUAGUUUUACAUAGAAUUGGUAAAUUGUAGAACUAUGUAAAGGAUAUGAAAGCUAUUAGUUGAAAAGGCUUUCGACCAACUGUUGGAUGCUCUGUUUUGAAACUCGGACCAGACCGGCCGAUCAAACCGAGAACCGGCCAAGUGUCCGAUCUGAAUCAUGGUAAAAAACCGAAAAUUUAAAGUCCGGUCAAAAACCGGAUUUGACCGGGAAAAAAUCGAUUUUUCCGGUUCAAUGGGCAUUUUUUUAAAAAAAAACUCAAUCUUUUCAAUAUUAUGUUUUGGCCCCCUAAAUUGUUAAAAUUUAUUAAUAUACCUCAAAUAUUUCAUACUUUAUAAAUAUUGUCCUAAAAUUUGAUGUUAUUUUUCAAUUAAAUUCAUAAUUUUAAUUCUAAACUUGUUAACAUUUAUUAAAUAACAUAAAUUGCUACUUGAUUGUUCUAAUUUCUUUGUAUUUUCUUGUUAAAUAUAUUUGAAACAUUAAAUAUAUAUGAAUAUACCUUUAUUAAUAUUAACAUAUUAUUUGAUAUUUUAUAUAUAAUAUUUUAAUUUUUAAAUAAUUUUUAUUUAUGACGUCAUCCGGUUCGAUUCCUAUCGACCCCCAGUCGAACCCAUUGAUCCCUGACUUCGGCGGAGUCGAUACCCGGUCCGGUUCUGAAAACAUAGGUUGGAUGUUGAUUUCCCGGGUUAGAAGAUAUCUCCGCUAUUGGAAAUGGGUCACAUUAACUUUUAAACGCCCCAGUUUACCAUUUAAAGUACCUAAUCUCCUCGUGCGAUUGGGCCUGAGCUGCGCCUUUAGCCUUGCCCGACACAAAGGAUCUAGUAUUUUACUUGCUUGCCUUGGUGGCCAGACUUUUUCCAAGAAAGUAGUAAAACAAUCACAAAUCUCAUUUAUAUGGACUUUUUAGACAAAGAUUUUGGUCCAAAAUUUCGGAGUGUGAACAGUACUAUCUGUCCCCAGAAAUUGGUUGAAUAUCACUGUGCAUCCGCCAGAUAAACAAGGGAAAAAAGAGUUGCCAGAUCACUAAAAACAAAGCAGAAAGUCUACGGUACUUUCGUUUAUAGCUCAAAGAAAAUUUUCCAUUCCUGUUAAGAUAAUUUUAGACGUUACCCUAUAUUCAAGUUGUUAAAAAGCAGUUGAAAUAGACAAACAGGUGAAACUAUAGUAGACUAGUGACCUCCAAAGGAUCCCAAACUUUUUCUUUUUCGAAUAAAGUUUGAAUGGAUUUAGUUUCGAUUACUAUUACAAGUUAUGCUCGUUGUUGAAUAACAUUUGGAUGAAUUUCGACUUCGCUCAUACUUACAAGCAGGAGUAGUAUGCUCUGCAAUUAGAGGUUACUUGUAAGAGUUCUUACCAACGUAAUCUUUAUUGGAUUUUUCACAUGUAGCUCUCACAUCAAUACUGGAAUUUGAGCAUAUGAUAUGUAUUAAGAGAGUGAUUGAUCAAUCAGGUUUUAUCAACUGAGCCAAAGUCCAAUCUUCAAAUUGAACAACUACAUACAAGCAACCAAUUACGCCUCACAUGCUGCUGCGGACGUUGUUGCAGUAAACUGAACUAAGGCACAAUCCGUGCCACCGAGUUACAAAUGCAGAGAAACCACAGAUGCUAGUAGCAGUAAGAGGCGGUAAGUGGUAACAAACACCUGUUAAUGGAGAAGACGAGCACUAUUGUAUGUUGUAACACAUGCAUGGUAAAGAGAGAAUCGUCGGUAAAAGUUAAAUUUCAAAUCCGGCCAAUUGGUAAAAGUUAAUUUCAAAUCCAGCCAAUCUCUCUCAUAAAAAGUGAAAAAAUUUACUUUCAAAACCUAACUAAGCCGGGUGGGUAGAUUAGUAAAGCAAUUAAAAAUAAAGUUGGAUCGCAAAAAUUAAACUAAGGAUUUCCAUACGUACAAAUUUUUUCACUGUUUAAAUUUAAGAGUUCUUCCCAGACUACUAUUUUAACUUGUCUCAAAUUAACUGUCUUUCCUACCAUAUGCAAAUUUUACUGUGUGAUUUAAUGAGCUUAGAAUUACUCACUAGUUUGCAAAAUACAAGUUUGAUUGAAUAAUUUGUUAUUUGAAAAAUAUUAUUUGAUUGCAUUGUAAACAUGAUUGUAAUUUUUUUAUAAUUAUUUUUUUAUCUCACAUACAUUACCUUAUUAAAAAAGUGAUGCAUUAUUAUGAAUUUCAAAUAAUUCUCUAGCAUUCAUCGCUUCCUAAAAACAAUUGGGCCUGAAGCGCCUAAGCUGGACUUAUCUACUAGGGUCUUACUUUCAUCGUGGUCUACGGCUUCUAGGCUAUCAUCCGAGCAUCUUCUGCCCAACUAACCUUUGGGCUUAAUAUCUCAGCUUCAACUUCUGCGCGCGCACGCGUGUCUUUUUUUUUUUUUUAAGUUAUUGAAGAUCUGAUCGAAAAAGUUCGUUAAAGAAUUAAAACUUGUCUGAACGAAAAUUUACUUGUAGGGAGGUUUGGUUUUUUACAACUUAGGAGACGAGAAGCACCAUAUAUGAGGGCAAAUUUUAAUCUCAUCCGUGAAAUUAACAGUAAAAUGAGGAAAAGGUGUGCUUUGGAUAAGGAGUAACUACUAGUGAUAGGGCACGAAAUGGAGGAUGGACAAAAGAAAGACGAUGAACCCAACAGACGUGACGUCUCGAGGCGAUAACAACAGUAGUUUGGUACGGGCAAUUGACGUCGAGUUCAGACAAAUUGAGUUCGAAAAUCUCCUGCUCUCUUGGUGUUCUGCAUCUGAGAGCUCAGGCUGCAAUUCAUGGGGCGAGACACAUUGCUUAACAAUGUCUACAUCAAAAUCAAUCGAUUCGUCAUGGUAGAGAAGAAAAAUAGUGCACGGACCGUACUCGAGCUUUGGAUCAAUGUCCCCAGAAGGAAGGAGUAUACUCACGUGUUUCAAUUAGAACACCCAAAAAACCUAAUUCAACUCUACAUAAGACAGCCAAAGUUCAUUAAGCAAUUGACAUGAUAUAUUUACUCACAUUCCAGACAAAGGUCAUAAUUUGCAAGAACAUUCUACAAUCUUAAUAAGAGGGGUAGACUGAUUUGGCUUUUUUUUAGUGGAUUCUCUCUUCAUUUUUCACAAUAUAUAUCUGAACGCAUGACAUGUGUUUUCAUUUAUUAGAAAGGGACAUGAUCAUUUUAAAUUUGACUAAUCCUAAUCCAUGUUAAUAAAUAAAGACACAUGUCAUGCAUCCAUAUGUGUACUACGAGAAAUGGAGUGGAAAUCCACCGGAGAGAAGCCAAGUUUGUAAGAUGGAAAACAAAAAAAAAAAAAAAAAAAAGGAAGGCUAGGGACUCCUCUCUUCCACCUUCUUCAUCUUUCUCGCUUUGUAGGCUACAAAAAUUAAGGGCAAUUGGGACUUCCGUUCUUAUUCUUGAAAUUGUUGUAGCGAGAUCAAGUUUGUUUGUUGCCGGAAGAGCCCGAGGCGCACACAAGCAUUUUGCACAGCAUUGAAGACAGAAAAACAUGCAUGCAUGGCUUCUUGUGGGAUGCCGCCGAGCAGCUAUAUGUACAUAUUGGCCUGCAAUCUGCACAAUGUUAUCAAAGGGAAAAAGAAAAAAACAGAUGCUUAAUUACAAUAUAUUCCAAACAAUGUCAUUUUUACAAAAUUAAAAUAUUUGUAGGGAAUAAAAUUUGAAAUUAAACAUACCCUGUGGACGAAGUUGGUUGUAACCCUUCCCCGAAAGGGAAAAAAAAAAUCCAAAAACUGAACAACAAAGAAAGAAGAUGUAAGGGACAAUUAUUAUCCACUGAAUAUUUACAUAUUCUUAGAGCAAAAGUUCUAAAAGAAGAAAAACUAAUCUGUUUCAUUACCUCAGCUACACUGGAAAAGGUAAUAAAUAUAUAUAAGCAAUGAGAAAAUCAAGAACCGACUAGCAUUGCAGGCACGAGUACCCAAUGCCAUCUUUCUCUUUUAAGAUUUCUUCGUAAAACUAUAAUAGUGAGGUAGUAGAAUAAUGCUAAUCCAGAAGUGGUAAGAGUUGAAUUCACACACACACACACACAUAUAUAUAGAAGAUUUAUCAAGGACAUGUACAGAAGGAUGAUUGCAGAAUAGGGAAAUAAAGUGCAUUCUUUAAGCCGCCAACAUUGAAAUUUGACACAGGAAAUGUAAUUUCGCCGUAUGAUACCAAAAAAUAAUCAUCGUGAAAAGAGGUGGUGAAGGCGUCGUGGACUGGUUGCCGCCUGAUAUAUCGUGUAACGAUUUUGUUUUAAAACUGCUGUGUUAAUUUGGGAGCAUCAUUUUUGUCAAGGUUUUAACAUGUCGGCAGGUUGUCUUUUGUUCUGCUUGUGAGUGUCAUUUCUGUCGAGUUUUUCACAUGUCGGACGAUUGUCUUUUGUUUUGUUUGUUGAUUAGUACAACUUUCAUUGGCAAGUCGCAACUAAACAUUAAUAUAUCCUUGACUUUGUUUCUUUCUUAGUGGUAAGUAGCAUUUUUAAUUGACAAUCGACAACUAAUAGGUAAAAGGAAAAUGUCGACAUCACAGAUAGCGUCCAUAACCAUAUAACUCAUCAAUUUCUCAAUCUAAUCCUAUCUUUAUUAUAAAUUUAGAUAUGCCUACCCUGAAAAAUGAGCACUCCCCAAUUGAAUCAUGAGUGAAUGAUGAUGAACCCUUGGUUGGUAUGUCUAAACACACAGAACUGACAAAAGUAAUGGAUAGGUGCAGUGCUGUCCACCCAAAAAAAAUGCAGCAGAUGGAAAUAGUAAUUUAAAAGAAUCACUAUUUAUUUUAAAAAAGUUUUAUGAUCUUCUUCUUUCAGUUGGGAGAAACAAUCUAAUAAUAGAUUUUAACAUAUCUAAUUUGAGUUGCUUGAUUUGAUAUCUAUACGUGAUUCUUCUCAACCCCAUCAGCUAACCCAAGGUCGAACGUCAAAUUCCAGAGCCAAAUGGGCGUUGUUCUAUCUUGACUCCAAAUAGUCUUGCCAGAAGAUGAAGAUGAACAUAUGAUAACCAUUCAAUAAAAAAGAAUUACAGUUCGCUCAUGCUAUGAAUUGAUUUUUAACACGAAUGUUUGACAAGAAAAGUUAUAAUAAACCUGAAGCUGUGAAAACAUAAUGGGUAAAUCAUUCUUGGUAAAGAAUUUAGGUGCCAAAUAACGCAAUACAUACCAGUAACUCCUGAUCCAAGUUAUAAAAGAACAGAGAAGAUAAAUGAGUAGAACUACAGUAGUGGACUAGUGUCCUCCUCCUGGAUCCCAAACUUCUAGUUGUAGAGACAACACAAAUAACAGCUCUAUUUUCCCCAAAGUAGUUGAAUGGAAAGGGCCAAUGACCCUCCAACGCACCAAAAAAAAAAAUAACAGCUCCAUGCAGCCAAUUACAGCUGACAUGCUGCUGCUAACGCCGUGCGGUAAAACUUUAUGAAUGAAAGGCAGAAUCUCGGCCACCAAAUGACAAAUGCAGAGAGAGCACACCAAGUAUCUCUAGCACUAGGAGGAGGUACAUAGACUUGUUGAUGACAGAGAUGAGCAAUUGCGGUACUUCUAACACGCAACAUGGAUAAGAAGAGAAGUAAUAGUUUAAAAAAAAAAAAAAUCAAAUCGGGUUGAUCUCCACAGUUCUUCAGCGCACAUAUGAAUAAUUCAGUAAGCAGGAAAACCACUGUAACAUUGCCAACAUCAACAAAAUGUCAAGAGAAUUCAAUUCUCAAUUUAAUUUGGAAUGAACAUAAGAGAGACAACACCGUUAAACGACUACAGUAAAAACAACACGAAUUAUGUUUCUUAGUUUUCUAUACCUAUGCUCCCUGAACUCGACAAGAUUUGGUUGAAGGAAGGUUCUAAAAGGAUCUCGAUCUCUUACCCAUUUUGUUAUGGGCGUCUAGCUUCUCUAUGCCGGGUAUAAUUUAGACAUGUA